AUUGAACGCUGGCGGCAGGCCUAAUACAUGCAAGUCGAGCGAAGCGGGGACGGGUGAGUAACACGUGGAUAACCUCCUAUAAGACUGGGAUAACUUCGGGAAACCGGGGCUAAACCGGAUACUUAGAGAUGGAUCCGCGCUGCAUUAGCUAGUUGGUAAGGUAACGGCUUACCAAGGCAACGAUGCAUAGCCGACCGGAGAGGGGGAACGGGCACACUGGAACUGAGACACGGGCCAGACUCCUACGGGAGGCAGCAGUAGGGAAUGUGCCGGAAUGGGCGAAGGCCUGAAGGCGCAAGGCCGCGUGAGGGAUGAAGGUUGUCGGAUCGUAAAACUCUGUUCUCAGGGAAGCGGUACCUAAUCAGAAAGCCCCGGCUAACUACGUGCCAGCAGCCGCGGUAAUUC
rnacentral:rRNA from 1 species